rnacentral:rRNA from 1 species
UACAGAGGGUGCGAGCGUUGUCCGGAAUCACUGGGCGUAAAGGGCGCGUAGGCGGCUUGAUAAGCGUGCGGUGAAAGCCCGGGGCUCAACCCCGGGUCGGCCGUGCGAACUGUCGAGCUGGAGCACUGUAGAGGCAGGUGGAAUUCCGGGUGUAGCGGUGGAAUGCGUAGAGAUCCGGAAGAACACCGGUGGCGAAGGCGGCCUGCUGGGCAGUGGCUGACGCUG